AAAUGAAUAUUUUUUCUUUUCUACCGUGACCCUAAUAAGAGUCUGCAUGUUUGAACUGCUAAUACCAUAGAGAUAAAAUGGGUGUUAUCCAGGCCAGGUUGAACGCUCUCAUUCACACUCUGCAGAAAUGAGCAUCUGUUAUCAACAUACAAGGUCUAAAAAUAGCCGUGAUUCUGGAGAAGAAAUUCAGACAUUUAUAACCCACCAACCCACACAAGAGGGCGAGUCGUCUUUUGCUGCAAAUCGUGUCAUGUAAUGUGAUUACUAGCAGAACCGUGUAUGUUAAUGUGCUUGUGUGCAGACGAUCCACAAGUUAACCCCCCCCCCCCCUCUCCUCCCCAUCCCACGCUGUGCCACCAAAGGAGUUGUGGACACCCUGAAGAACAUGGCAUCUUGAGGCACAAGCGAAUACUCUCUAGUGCCCCCGUUAAGCGGUGACGCAGUCAGAGAUUUUUCGCUGUGGUGGUCAAGGUCCAGCUCUUGCAGUGGCUGAAUGUAUCCUGGCAGUGGCGCUGUUGUUCAGUGUUGGCGUGGCGGUGCACAGAAAGGAAUCAUCCUGAGAUUAUGGCCGAAAAUACCAAAAGGUACCUCUUUGUUCAAGACAAGUUCAAAGCUUUAGGAGAACUUAAGUAAAAGCAAAUUAAACAGACAGGAAUUACUUUUUU